rnacentral:lncRNA from 1 species
GCCUUGAACAAGCUACUUCCAUUUUCUGGCUCUUUAGUCUCCUCAUUUGUAAAAUGAGGGGGCUGGAGUAAGUAAGCUCUAUAAGGCUCUCAGCUGUGACAUCUAUGCAUAAUCACAGAAGAUCGAAGUGUACAGAACACCAUGGAAACUGAAGAGAGAUUCUGAAAGGAGGCUUUAAGAGGUCACUUGCAUCCAAUGCUGCAGAAGUGUCAGAGACUGAGGACUUAAAUGAAGCCACUGAUUAGCAAUUUAAAGAUCCUCUCCAAGACAGGGUCUCACUGAGUGCAGCGGCACGAUCUUGGCUCACUGCAACCUCCGCCUCCCAGGUCCAAGCGAUUCUCCUGCCUCAGCCUCCUGAGUAGCUGGCAUUACAGGUAUGAACCAUCAUGCCCAGCUAAUUUUUGUGAUUUUAGUAGAGACAGGGUUUCACCAUGUUGACCAGGCUGGUCUGGAACUCCUGACCUCAAGUGAUCCGUCUGCCUCGGCCUCCUAAAGUGCUGGGAUUACAGGCAUGAGCCACCGUGCCUGGCCGCUUUCUGCAUUUUUAGUGUCACUCAACCCUUGUUGUCUCUGAUUGUCAAGGCAACGACUACGUGUAAAGUAAUGUGGACAGAGUCUUGGACAGAGAAAUGCCUCAGAAAUGUUUUGUGAUGAAGAUGAAGGAGAGGCGCUGGAAGCAGAAACUGGGGAGGGGGUAGGAUUCGUGUCUCCACUUACUCUCCACCC